GGGACUAUAGCUCAGUUGGUUAGAGCGCACGCCUGAUAAGCGUGAGGUCGGUGGUUCAACUCCACCUAGUCCCACCA
rnacentral:tRNA from 1 species